rnacentral:rRNA from 1 species
GGCAUUCCUUUAGUACGGCGAGUGAACCGGGAAAAGCUCAAAUUUGUAAUCUGGCUGUCUUCGAUAGUCCGAGUUGUAAUCUAUAGACGUGUUUUCCGUGCUGGAUCGUAUCUAAGUCCCUUGGAACAGGGUAUCAAAGAGGGUGACAAUCCCGUGCUUGAUACGACGACCAGUGCUCUGUGAUACACGUUCUACGAGUCGAGUUGUUUGGGAAUGCAGCUCAAAAUGGGUGGUAAAUUCCAUCUAAAGCUAAAUAUUGGCGAGAGACCGAUAGCGAACAAGUACCGUGAGGGAAAGAUGAAAAGCACUUUGGAAAGAGAGUUAAACAGUACGUGAAAUUGUUGAAAGGGAAACGAUUGAAGUCAGUCGUGUUCUUCAGAUUCAGCUGGUUCUUCCAGUCUACUUCUGUUGAACGGGUCAACAUCAGUUUUGUCCGGUGGAUAAAGGUAGUAGGAAUGUGACUCCCCCGGGAGUGUUAUAGCCUAUUAUUGCAUACACUGGGUGAGACUGAGGACUGCAGCUCGCCUUUUGGCCGGUCUUCGGACACGUUCGAGCUUAGGAUGUUGACAUAAUGGCUUUAAACGACCCGUCUUGAAA